rnacentral:rRNA from 1 species
CCCUUAGAUGUUCUGGGCCGCACGCGCGCUACACUGACGGAGUCAACGAGUUGUCCUGCAUCGGAAGGUGUGGGUAAUCUUUUGAAACUUCGUCGUGCUGGGGAUAGAUCUUUGCAAUUUUCGAUCUUGAACGAGGAAUUCCUAGUAAGCGUGAUUCAUCAGAUCGCGUUGAUUACGUCCCUGCCCUUUGUACACACCGCCCGUCGCUACUACCGAUUGAAUGGUUUAGUGAGGCCUCGGGACUGGCGCGCUCGAGUAGCAAUACGCCUGCGCGCCGGGAACUUGGUCAAACUUGAUCAUUUAGAGGAAGUAAAAGUCGUANCA